ensembl:lncRNA
UGUGAGAGAGAGAGAGAGAGAGAGAUGUGCACUUUUGUAUAUUGUGACAUUAGUUUAGCAAAAUGCUAAAAUAAAACUCUGUUAGUUGUGUCUCUAGUGCACUUUACAGAGAGGGAUGCCAAUUGUGUGGCUCAAAGUGUUCUUGUCCAUGAAGUGCAUUUCAGAUGUUCCAAUUCCAUCCAGUUGUGUAGGGAUGUGGGAAAAUGCCUCUAGGAACUUAAGCUGCGUCGGAGACACUUUGGGAACAAGAUGCCCAUGCCGCCAGACUUGCAAAUCCCUGCCUAGUGUGGAAGAGCACAACUAAGGUGAGAGAAAAGGGAGGCAGGAGUCCCAAAGGCCAACUUCUGGAGGAGUGAGCCUUGACCCCCACAGGAGAGGGGAGAUCAGAGGACUCGUGGCUAUGAAAUAGCAUCCUGAUCCACCACUUAGCAUAAGCUUCUCUGGGCGUAGGCCUCGGCCUCAGUGCAGCGUGAAGGAAACAUGUAACUAGGGGACGUCUUCCCACUGAAUGGCCACCGAGAGGGGCAUGGCAGGCCUCAGUGGCCGCCACAAAGACCUCUAGGGUGGAGUGGGUUAACCCUGCAGAGAAUCGGGCCUGCAGGAACUCCAGGACUGUACCAACCAGGCAGUUAACAGGGUCGACCUGUGGUCUCCGCACCAAGAAGUGAAAAGCUUCGCCUUCAAGGUUUACAGUUUCCUCAUAGAGGGAGUUCUGGAUUGGAGGAUGGUCUCAACAACCUCGGUUGAGAGACUGGAAGCUAUGAGCUGUGCCCCCUCAGGGGCCACACCCAUAACUUCCACGGCUCUGGGCGGGGGUGGAAUAUCGUGCCUUCCGCCUGUGAGAGGGCAUCCCUCCUGACGGGAAUCUCCCCUGGAGUGCCAUCGAGGGUAGAAAUCAGGUCUGAGUACCAUACUCGGCCUGGCCAGAAUGGGGCUACUAGCAGAAGACGGACCCCGUCCCGGCGCAUUCUCUCCACUCUCUCCAGAAGCAUGGCCAGCAUCUCCA